rnacentral:rRNA from 1 species
UGGGGAAUUUUGGACAAUGGGCGAAAGCCUGAUCCAGCAAUGCCGCGUGUGUGAAGAAGGCCUUCGGGUUGUAAAGCACUUUUGUCCGGAAAGAAAUCCUUGGCUCUAAUACAGUCGGGGGAUGACGGUACCGGAAGAAUAAGCACCGGCUAACUACGUGCCAGCAGCCGCGGUAAUACGUAGGGUGCAAGCGUUAAUCGGAAUUACUGGGCGUAAAGCGUGCGCAGGCGGUUUGCUAAGACCGAUGUGAAAUCCCCGGGCUCAACCUGGGAACUGCAUUGGUGACUGGCAGGCUAGAGUAUGGCAGAGGGGGGUAGAAUUCCACGUGUAGCAGUGAAAUGCGUAGAGAUGUGGAGGAAUACCGAUGGCGAAGGCAGCCCCCUGGGGCCAAAUACUGACGCUCAUGCACGAAAGCGUGGGGGAGCAAACAGGAUUAGAUACCCUGGGUAGUCCACGCCCUAAACGAUGUCAACUAGUUGUUGGGGAUUCAUUUCCUUAGUAACGUAGCUAACGCGUGAAGUUGACCGCCUGGGGAGUACGGUCGCAAGAUUAAAACUUAAAUGAAUUGACGGGGUCAUAGCUGUUUCCU